rnacentral:lncRNA from 1 species
AUGAAUAUCACUGAAUAUGUACUUCUGAUUGAGAUUUACACGCAAACUUAACCUCACCCUUCCACGUUUCAUAGAUUUUUUUGGGAUAGUCCACAUGCAAAUACACAAAAACAAAUCCUAAGUCGGAUCCAAUAAUAUCCACCAAAUGCAAAGCAACACCAGGCUUAUCUCUGUUAUUGCAUAGCGGGAGGCCGACGCAGAUGAUGCCACGCGCACCCAACCAAGCCUUCAACUGCGCACACACUGGGAGGCUACGGUUGGCGCCCAGAAACCUUCAUCGUGGUGACCGCGAGGACAACCGCAAGGGCGUGCCGGCAAGAGCACUAAGCAUGUCAUAAAGGAAAUCCCACGAAAUGCAGUUUCACAUGUUUAAUUUAUAGAGCCCUCAUUCCUCAAAAAAAAAAAAUCUCGCCAACCUAAUAAAUUUUCUUUGCUGGGCCGGGUUUGGUACAAGCAGAUCUUACCCCGGUUCAAUAGUGAAAAUAAUUUGAAAUUACUAAACGUAUGACACAGUUGUGGCACGAUAACCAAUGGACCUUGAAGAUGUUGAAUGGAGAUGCCACCAUAUCUUGCACAUAAGGAAACAUGCAUUAUUUAGAAAAGAUCAUCUCCAUGCUGGUAAAUGCUCUUGCUAUAAACGACAUAACAAUAGUCACUAGAUCAAGGAACACAAAAGAAAGACCAUGUCACAGCCAAACAUAGCCAAACGCGCCUACUAUAAACCAACCUGUGGUAUGCCCUCAUCCCUUGAAUGCAUUUUCCCUUUCAGAAAAAAAAAUGCAAGCACACACCGUCGAGGACCGAAGCGAGGCGGAAGGGCACUCACUGUUGGGCGCCUUUUACAGUUGACUUGAAGUAGGCCUCACACUGACGGAGUCGGUAGUGAUGUUCUCCCUGUGCACACAAAACGGCGGCACGAGUAUAUGACUUGACAUGCGUGUGGCAAUUAUGAUAAAACACCUGAAAAGGUAGGAUAUUAAUUAUCUUCAGCAGCUGAUCCGUAAAUCAGAGGUCACAUUACUACUUGAUUUCAAAUGCAAUUUCCUAGGAGUACAUAUUGUAGUAGUCUCUUCACUUAAUGAACCGAGCUCCUGCCGACUUCAGGCGCUUUAACAGUUCCAGUCUUCUCUGCAUAUCCCCUGAUUGUUUUCUAUAGGGUGCACACUCUACCGGCGCAUGGUGGCCGUUCAACAAGUGCCCACCCAACAUGGACCCAGCAUCAAUUAGAUCGUUGCUGUCACAUAUAGUACCACAUUGACUUUAACACUGGAGAACGCAUCCUUCCAACACCCCAGCACGCAUGACAGUUUCGCCUUUUUCAGUAAUAUCUCUUUCUAAGGAGUGGCAAUAUCACUUGAGCGUCUGCACCACAACGGUGCCAAUAAUACAGUCAGGGGAUAAUUUAGGCGUGAUUUACCUCUUCGUCCAGAACGGUGCCUGCGGGUCGUCCCUGCACAUUGACUGUUUUGAAUCCGGUGCGAACAAGUUGCUGGACGCGCAAGCGUCGUUCAGGUCUGGCUGCCGCGCCGGCGAGGCAUCACCAACAUCAGCAAUGCUGGACUCGGCUACUGCGUCCACCGGAUCUGCAACCGGCUGCGCCGGCCGCGUGUAUUCACCACCCAACGUGGGAAGAGGGAAUCUGUCCUCCAACCGGAUAACGCUACUGAGGUGCAUGCCGCAAAAUCACUACAAUCUACAGCGGGGGCAAAAACCUUACCUGUUAACCAGAUCUGAUAGGAACUCGAAUGCAUCUCCCAGCGCCUGUGCCGCCGCCACUGGUUCGAUCUCUCUGCCGCGCAGAGCAAAGCACCCGAGGGAAGAGGGA